UGGGGAAUAUUGCACAAUGGGCGCAAGCCUGAUGCAGCCAUGCCGCGUGUGUGAAGAAGGCCUUCGGUUGUAAGCACUUUCAGCGAGGAGGAAGGUGGUGAGCUUAAUACGCUCAUCAAUUGACGUUACUCGCAGAAGAAGCACCGGCUAACUCCGUGCCAGCAGCCGCGGUAAUACGGAGGGUGCAAGCGUUAAUCGGAAUUACUGGGCGUAAAAGCGCACGCAGGCGGUUUGUUAAGUCAGAUGUGAAAUCCCCGGGCUCAACCUGGGAACUGCAUUUGAAACUGGCAAGCUAGAGUCUCGUAGAGGGGGGUAGAAUUCCAGGUGUAGCGGUGAAAUGCGUAGAGAUCUGGAGGAAUACCGGUGGCGAAAGGCGGCCCCCCUGGACGAAGACUGACGCUCAGGUGCGAAAAGCGUGGGGAGCAAAACAGGAUUAGAUACCCUGGUAGUCCACGCUGUAAAACGAUGUCGAUUUUGGAGGUUGUGCCCUUGAGGCGUGGCUUCCGGAGCUAACGCGUUAAAAUCGACCGCCUGGGGAGUACGGCCGCAAGGUU
rnacentral:rRNA from 1 species